rnacentral:rRNA from 1 species
UACGGAGGGAGCUAGCGUUGUUCGGAAUUACUGGGCGUAAAGCGCGCGUAGGCGGUUUUUUAAGUCAGGGGUGAAAUCCCGGGGCUCAACCCCGGAACUGCCUUUGAUACUGGAAGUCUAGAGUAUGGUAGAGGUGAGUGGAAUUUCCGGUGUAGCGGUGAAAUGCGUAGAUAUCGGAAGGAACACCAGUGGCGAAGGCGGCUCACUGGACUGGUAUUGACGCUGAGGUGCGAAAGCGUGGGGAGCAAACAGG